UACGUAGGUGGCAAGCGUUAUCCGGAAUUAUUGGGCGUAAAGCGCGCGUAGGCGGUUUUUUAAGUCUAUUGUGAAAGCCCACGGCUCAACCUUGGAGGGUCAUUGGAAACUGGAAAACUUGAGUGCGGAAGAGGAAAGCGGAGCUCCAUGUGUAGCGGUGAAAUGCGUAGAGAUAUGGAGGAACACCAGUGGCGAAGGCGACUUUCUGGUCUGUAACUGACGCUGAUGUACGAAAGCGUGGGGAACAAACAGG
rnacentral:rRNA from 1 species